UACGUAGGGGGCUAGCGUUGUCCGGAAUCAUUGGGCGUAAAGCGCGUGUAGGCGGUCCGGUAAGUCCGCUGUGAAAGUCGGGGGCUCAACCCUCGGAUGCCGGUGGAUACUGUCGGGCUUGAGUACGGAAGAGGCGAGUGGAAUUCCUGGUGUAGCGGUGAAAUGCGCAGAUAUCGAGAGGAACACCAGUGGCGAAGGCGAGUCCCUGGACAACUUCUGACGCUGAGGCACGAAAGCUAGGGGAGCAAACAGG
rnacentral:rRNA from 1 species